GACAGAGGUUGCAAACGUUGUUCGGAAUUACUGGGCAUAAAGCGCACGUAGGCGGUUCGUUAAGUCAUGUGUGAAAUCCCCCGGCUCAACCGGGGAAUUGCGCCUGAUACUGGCGGGCUAGAGAUCGAUAGGGGUGAGUGGAACUCCAGGUGGAGCGGUGAAAUGCGUAGAUAUCUGGAGGAACACCGGUGGCGAAAGCGGCUCACUGGAUCGAUACUGACGCUGAGGUGCGAAAGCGUGGGGAGCAAACAGG
rnacentral:rRNA from 1 species